UACGGAGGGUGCAAGCGUUGUCCGGAUUUAUUGGGUUUAAAGGGUGCGUAGGCGGCUUUUUAAGUCAGUGGUGAAAUACAGCAGCUCAACUGUUGAGGUGCCAUUGAUACUGAGAGGCUUGAGUACAGAUGAGGUAGGCGGAAUUUAUGGUGUAGCGGUGAAAUGCAUAGAUACCAUAAAGAACACCGAUUGCGAAGGCAGCUUACUAGCUGUAACUGACGCUGAGGCACGAAAAGCGUGGGGGAGCGAACAGG
rnacentral:rRNA from 1 species